rnacentral:rRNA from 1 species
AUUUGCUGUUGUGUGAAAUUGUUAACCGCUCACUUCCGCUCGUCGGUCGCUGCCCACUGUAGUCGCCAUUGUAGCACGUGUGUAGCCCAACGCGUAAGGGCCCUGAAGACUUGACAUCAACCCCACCUUCCUCCGGCUUAUCACCGGCGGUUCCUUUAGAGUACCCAACUUAAUGCUGGCAGCCAAAGGCGAGG